GGCCUUAUAAUAUAAUAGUAGCAUCCCUAGUUCUAAAUUAGGAGGCUAUAGGUUUAACCCCUAUUAGGGCUA
rnacentral:tRNA from 1 species